CCUACGGGGUGCAGCAGUGAGGAAUAUUGGUCAAUGGGCGAGAGCCUGAACCAGCCAAGUCGCGUGAAGGAUGAAGGAUCUAUGGUUUGUAAACUUCUUUUAUAUGGGAAUAAAGUGAGGAACGUGUUCCUUUUUGUAUGUACCAUAUGAAUAAGCAUCGGCUAACUCCGUGCCAGCAGCCGCGGUAAUACGGAGGAUGCGAGCGUUAUCCGGAUUUAUUUGGUUUAAAGGGUGCGUAGGUGGUUAAUUAAGUCAGCGGUGAAAGUUUGUGGCUCAACCAUAAAAUUGCCGUUGAAACUGGUUGACUUGAGUAUAUUUGAGGUAGGCGGAAUGCGUGGUGUAGCGGUGAAAUGCAUAGAGAUCACGCAGAACUCCGAUUGCGAAGGCAGCUUACUAAACUAUAACUGACACUGAAGCACGAAAGCGUGGGUAUCAAACAGGAUUAGAUACCCUUGUAGUC
rnacentral:rRNA from 1 species